UACGUAGGGGGCAAGCGUUGUCCGGAAUCACUGGGCGUAAAGGGCGCGUAGGCGGCUUCUCAAGCGUGUGGUGAAAGUCCGGGGCUCAACCCCGGAUCGGCCGUGCGGACUGGGGAGCUCGAGUUCUGUAGAGGCGGGUGGAAUUCCGGGUGUAGCGGUGGAAUGCGUAGAGAUCCGGAAGAACACCGGUGGCGAAGGCGGCCCGCUGGGCAGAGACUGACGCUGAGGCGCGACAGCGUGGGGAGCAAACAGG
rnacentral:rRNA from 1 species